AGCUCCAAUAGCGUAUAUUAAAGUUGUUGCAGUUAAAAAGCUCGUAGUUGGAUUUCUGGUGGGAGCGAUCGGUCCGCCCCGCAAGGGGUGUGUACUAGCGUCGUCUCCGGCCAUCCUUGUGGGAACUGUGCGGCCCUUAGUUGGACUGUAUAUGGGAACACAUCGUUUACUGUGAAAAAAUUAGAGUGUUUAAAGCAGGCUUAAGCCGUUGAAUACAUUAGCAUGGAAUAAUAAGAUAAGACUUGGGUCAUUAUUUUGUUGGUUUGCGGAUCGAGGUAAUGAUUAAUAGGGAUAGUUGGGGGUAUUCAUAUUUAAUUGUCAGAGGUGAAAUUCUUGGAUUUAUGAAAGAUGAACUUAGGCGAAAGCAUUUACCAAGGAUGUUU
rnacentral:rRNA from 1 species